rnacentral:snRNA from 1 species
GUGCUCACUUCGGCAGCACAUACUAAAAUUGGAAUGAUACAGAGAAGAGUAGCAUGGCCCCUGCACAAGAAUGACACGCAAAUUCAUGAAGCAUUCUAUUUAAAA